AGCAGGGAGAGGGGUUGCAGGCAGGAGCGUGGACAGGGGAGAUUUCAGGGAGACUUCCAGCGGCCCCGCCUCUUUCGUGUAGGGAAACCUUUCCUCCUUUUGUGUGGGGAUACCUCAAACUCACUACUGAACUGAGUUCCUGACCGUCCACCCUUCACUUCCUCAUCCACCCCUGCCUCAGAAGAUGGCAGCUCCAUCUUCCAGUUGCUGAGGCUGAAAUAACUCCAUCAUCCCUCAUUCUUUUCUUAUCCUGGAGUUGGACCAAAGAUUCAUUCAGGUUAUGUGAGCUCUACCAGCUAAGGCGUCAUGGUGCUACCUGCUGUUUUCCCAGCCCAGAGAUGGGACUCCAGGCCUUAUACAUAGGCAGGUUGUCCACUGAGCCACGCCCCCAGCCCCUCACUGGGGGAUUCUAAGUAGGGGCUCUACCACUGAGCCACACCCCCAGC
rnacentral:lncRNA from 1 species